rnacentral:rRNA from 1 species
UGAGUACGAGAUGCUACGGCAUCGAAGCAGUCUAUGUCAUACUUCCAAGAAAAGCUUGCACUGUCAGAAACAGAUAAUGCCUGUACCAUAACCGACACAGGUGGGUAGGUAGAGUAUACUAAGGGGCGCGAGAUAACUCUCUCUAAGGAACUCGGCAAAAUGACUCCGUAACUUUGGGAGAAGGAGUGCCUUAUUUUUAAGGUUGCAAUAACAAGAUCCAAGCAACUGUUUACCAAAAACACAGGUCUCCGCUAAGUCGUAAGACGAUGUAUGGGGGCGGACGCCUGCCCAGUGCCAGAAGGUUAAAGAAGUCGGUUAGCAUUCGCGAAGCUGGUAACUGAAGCCCUGGUGAACGGCGGCCGUAACGAUAACGGUCCUAAGGUAGCGAAAUUCCUUGUCGGGUAAGUUCCGACCCGCACGAAAGGCGUAAUGAUUUGGAUACUGUCUCGGAGAGGGGCUCGGUGAAAUAGACUUGUCUGUGAAGAUGCGGACUACCUGCACCUGGACAGAAAGACCCUAUGAAGCUUUACUGUAACUUGAAAUUGAAAUUGGACUUUAUUUGCGCAGUAUAGGUGGGAGGCGUUGAAAAUAUUCUUGCGGGAAUAUUGGAGCCAUCAGUGAGAUACCACUCUUGUAAUGUUAGAUUUCUAACUUUAUAUCAUUAUCUGGUUAAAGAACAGUUUCAGGCGGGCAGUUUGACUGGGGCGGUCGCCUCCCAAAUGGUAACGGAGGCGCACAAAGGUUUCCUCUGAACGGGUAGAAAUCGUAUCUAGAGUGUAAAGGCAUAAGGAAGCUUGACUGUGAGACCUACAAGUCGAGCAGGGACGAAAGUCGGUCUUAGUGAUCUGACGGUGCUGAGUGGAAAGGCCGUCACUCAACGGAUAAAAGUUACUCUAGGAUAACAGGCUGAUCUCCCCCAAGAGUUCACAUCGACGGGGAGGUUUGGCACCUCGAUGUCGGCUCAUCGCAUCCUGGGGCGGUAGUACGUCCCAAGGGUUGGGCUGUUCGCCCAUGAAAGCGGUACGCGAGCUGGGUUCAGAACGUCGUGAGACAGUUCGGUCCAUAUCCGGUGUAGGCGUUAGAAUAUUGAGAGGAGCCUUCUUUAGUACGAGAGGACCGAGAAGGACAUACCUCUGGUGUACCAGUUAUCGUGCCAACGGUAAACGCUGGGUAGCUAUGUAUGGAGUGGAUAACCGCUGAAAGCAUCUAAGUGGGAAGCCCACCUCAAGAUAAGUAUUCUC